rnacentral:lncRNA from 13 species
CUAAGAAGCGUCGGCAAGCGAGGGAAACAGUCACAGCUGGCGUUUCUUUCAUUCCCCCGCAACCAGCCAGUGUGACUUGAUGAAAGUGUGUCUGCUUUUACAGAAAUAUAUCUUUGAGGCUAGUGGAAUGCAAUGCUGUUGAUAUGGCAGUGUGUGAUCCCUUUGAGAGACUUCGCUCAGAUACAGUGCACAGCAGAGCUUGCUAAUGAAACACAACUCGUAUACCGAUCAGAUAUUAAUGUCGCUUUCUUUCUUUCAGAGUUGAACUGGGGACUGUGGAGACAUCUAGUGUGGAACUGAAAAAGAAAUGGACUAAGAAGUGAGAGCAGAACUAAGUGCUAAACACCCACUUUUAUGGAGAAGAGGAUGGAUGGAGGAGAUGAUGGGAGUUCUGGGUUUCUCUCUGCCACCAGCCUCAGUCAUCCACACAGCCAGAUCACCACGACCACCUUGAGGACACGCUACUGCCCAAUCACCACUGGGCCCAGUGGGUUGGCAUGCCAACGAAGACCGAAAAGUAAGGGGAAAACCUUGAACAACAAUUACAACCUAGAUGCUGAUAGAUGACUGCAAUAAAUGAGCUCAUUUGAAAUAAUGCCCCCCCCACUCUUCAUCCAUGAUUCUGCCCACUGUGUGUCUCAGUGUGGCUAUCCUUGUGCGGAUGGCGUAUUCCCGCAAGUUAACUUUGUUCCAAUUACUGAUGAAUACGGGUUGGAGAGAAUCCUAUUUGUGGCACUUAGGAUUCAGAGAGGCUCACUGCAGAUAGUCCAGUAGUAGUGACUGGAUUGCUUUAGUUGAUAUCAUACCACAGGGAUUCAAUCAUACAUCAUCUUUUGAGGAUGAGAUAAGGUGAGUGAAGUGUAGAGAUGAAGCAUAACUCUUCAGUCGAUCUGUCCAGAGUUCGGCUGUGUUUGCGUACUAAUGUGAUUUUUCUUAUAUGGCUAUACCUCCAGGCAAGUGUCUGAGGGGAGCUGUCUGGCCCAAAAGGCUGGCCUAGAAAUGCCAUGUAUCCAACUAAAACUACCUCAAAUUGAUUCUGGAUGACACAAAAGCAGCACACAACUGGCGAGAGAGGAAAUUACUUUGCGUUAUCGGCAAACUGAAUGGAUGUUUUGAUGGGAUCAGUUCCAUAUCUCACACUUGUAUUGUUAUCCACAUGAAACUGACAUUACCCUUGUUAUUUGGGGACUGCUGUUUAUAUUACCAGUACUAGUGGGCAACACAGUAUCCUGAAAAUGUCUUGAUCUGUAGGGAACAUUUUUCCUGGUUUGUAGUUCUCAAUGUUAUAUAGCAGGGGUACUCAACUCUGACCCCACGAGGUCCGGAGCCUGCUGGUUUUCUGUUCUACCUGAUAUUGAAUUGCACACACCUGGUGUUCCAGGUCUAAAUCACUCCCUGAUUAGAGAGCAACAAUGAGAAAACGCAGUGGAAUUGGCGACGAUGUCCAGAAUUUAGUUUGAGGGUUAUAUAAACUCAGCAAAAAAAUAAAUGUCCUCUCACUGUCAACUGCAUUUAUUUUCAGCAAACUUAACACGUGUAAAUGUUUGUAUGACCAUAACAAGAUUCAACAACUGAGACAUAAACUGAACAAGUUCCACAGACAUGUGACUAACAGAAAUUGAAUAAUGUGUUCCUGGGGGGGGGGCACCAGCUGCAUUCAGUA